GGGAAUCUGCCCUUUGGUCUGGGAUAACUGUUGGAAACGACAGCUAAUACCGGAUGAUGACGUAAGUCCAAAGAUUUAUCGCCAGAGGAUGAGCCCGCGUCGGAUUAGCUAGUUGGUGGGGUAAGGGCCUACCAAGGCGACGAUCCGUAGCUGGUCUGAGAGGAUGAUCAGCCACACUGGGACUGAGACACGGCCCAGACUCCUACGGGAGGCAGCAGUGGGGAAUAUUGGACAAUGGGCGAAAGCCUGAUCCAGCAAUGCCGCGUGAGUGAUGAAGGCCUUAGGGUUGUAAAGCUCUUUUACCCGGGAUGAUAAUGACAGUACCGGGAGAAUAAGCUCCGGCUAACUCCGUGCCAGCAGCCGCGGUAAUACGGAGGGAGCUAGCGUUGUUCGGAAUUACUGGGCGUAAAGCGCACGUAGGCGGCUUUGUAAGUUAGAGGUGAAAGCCUGGAGCUCAACUCCAGAACUGCCUUUGAUACUGCAUGGCUUGAAUCCAGGAGAGGUGAGUGGAAUUCCGAGU
rnacentral:rRNA from 1 species